UCAUUGAAUGGCUGAAAAGAAAGCAUUGGUCUCUUAAACCAUCUCAUAGUACACAAAUACUUUCAAUGAA
rnacentral:tRNA from 1 species